UGCUCCGUACGUUCGCAGUAACGGGUAGAGCGGAAGGCUCCGUGGCCAGGGAAGAGCGGCACGGACACGUUCCUGCUCGCUCCGUUGCACCGGAAUUUCGACGGCUGGGUUCGGCCGCUAAAUUGAUGGCGCUACCGGAAGAAAUUUCAGAAAAAAAGGGUGGCUUUUUCGUCGAUCUCUUUGUGAGAGUAUCAAAUCAGGCGGCGGUAAAUACGUAGAAGCAACUAGGCGUACUACGGCGUGUACCGGACAGCGUUGGCGUGCCGCUCUGCUAGCAGCGGAGAGCCAGAUGAGGAUGCCCGUGAUAUGAGAAAAGCUCUGUCCAGAGAUAUGGAGACGAAAUCAGUUUUACCUCACCCUGU